GACGAACGCUGGCGGCGUGCCUAAUACAUGCAAGUUGAGCGCUGAAGGUUGGUACUUGUACCAACUGGAUGAGCAGCGAACGGGUGAGUAACGCGUGGGGAAUCUGCCUUUGAGCGGGGGACAACAUUUGGAAACGAAUGCUAAUACCGCAUAAAAACUUUAAACACAAGUUUUAAGUUUGAAAGAUGCAAUUGCAUCACUCAAAGAUGAUCCCGCGUUGUAUUAGCUAGUUGGUGAGGUAAAGGCUCACCAAGGCGAUGAUACAUAGCCGACCUGAGAGGGUGAUCGGCCACAUUGGGACUGAGACACGGCCCAAACUCCUACGGGAGGCAGCAGUAGGGAAUCUUCGGCAAUGGACGAAAGUCUGACCGAGCAACGCCGCGUGAGUGAAGAAGGUUGUCGGAUCGUAAAAAUCGGUUGGUAGAGAAGAACGUUGGUGAGAGUGGAAAGCUCAUCAAGUGACGGUAACUACCCAGAAAGGGACGGCUAACUACGUG
rnacentral:rRNA from 1 species